GCAUAUCAAUAAGCGGAGGAAAAGAAACUAACAAGGAUUCCCCUAGUAGCGGCGAGCGAAGCGGGAAGAGCUCAAAUUUAUAAUCUGGCACCUUCGGUGUCCGAGUUGUAAUCUCUAGAAAUGUUUUCCGCGUUGGACCGCACACAAGUCUGUUGGAAUACAGCGGCAUAGUGGUGAGACCCCCGUAUAUGGUGCGGACGCCCAGCGCUUUGUGAUACAUUUUCGAAGAGUCGAGUUGUUUGGGAAUGCAGCUCAAAUUGGGUGGUAAAUUCCAUCUAAAGCUAAAUAUUGGCGAGAGACCGAUAGCGAACAAGUACCGUGAGGGAAAGAUGAAAAGCACUUUGGAAAGAGAGUUAACAGUACGUGAAAUUGUUGGAAGGGAAACGCUUGAAGUCAGACUUGCUUGCCGAGCAAUCGGUUUGCAGGCCAGCAUCAGUUUUCCGGGAUGGAUAAUGGUAGAGAGAAGGUAGCAGUUUCGGCUGUGUUAUAGCUCUCUGCUGGAUACAUCUUGGGGGACUGAGGAACGCAGUGUGCCUUUUGGCGGGGGUUUCGACCUCUUCACACUUAGGAUGCUGGUGGAAUGGCUUUAAACGACCCGUCUUGAAACACGGACC
rnacentral:rRNA from 1 species